rnacentral:rRNA from 1 species
ACGGCUCAUUAUUAACACCCGUAAUCUACCCAGUUUUCGUAUCCAAAACGGAUAUCUGCGUUAAUUUUGGAGCUAAUACGUGCACCAAAGCACCGCCAGCAAUGGUAGUGCGCACAUAUUAGAUCAAGACCUAUUGGGGCAACCCACUUGAUGACUCUGAAUAUUUUUGCGGAUCGCAUGGUCUUGUACCGGCGACGUACUGGUCGAGCGGGUGCCCUAUCAACUAUUGAUGGAAGUCUAUGUGUCUUCCAUGGUUGUAACGGGUAACGGAGAAUAAGGGUUCGACUCCGGAGAGCUAGCCUUAGAAACGGCUAUCACAUCCAAGGAAGGCAGCAGGCGCGUAAAUUACCCACUCUCAAUUCGAGGAGGUAGUGACUAUCAAUAACGAGACAGAUCUCUUUGAGGUCUGUCAUUGAAAUGAGCACAACUUAAAGACUUUAACGAAGUCUAUGGGAGGGCAAGUCUGGUGCCAGCAGCCGCGGUAAUUCCAGCUCCCAACGUGUAUAUCGUCAUUGCUGCGGUUAAAAAGCUCGUAGUUGGAUCUAAGUUCAUGACUGUAGUUCUCCAUGUGAGAUACUGCUAGUCUGGACUGUUUCGCCGGUUUUCCGUAGCUUCGGCUGCGGUGACUGGUGUUGUAACUUUGAUUAAAUCAAUGUGAUUAAAACAGGCGUUUGCUUGAAUGCUUUAUCAUGGAAUAAUAGAAUAUGACUUCGGUCCAUUCUGUUGGUCUUGGGAUUGAAGUAAUGAUUAAAAGGAACAACUCGGGGGCAUCCGUAUCGCUGCGU